rnacentral:rRNA from 1 species
UACGAGGGGGGGCGAGCGUUGUUCGGAAUUAUUGGGCGUAAAGGGUGCGUAGGCGGUUUGGUAAGUCUGAUGUGAAAUCUAUGGGCUCAACUCAUAGUCUGCAUCGGAAACUGCCGGGCUUGAGUGUGGGAGAGGUGAGUGGAAUUCCUGGUGUAGCGGUGAAAUGCGUAGAUAUCGUAAGGAAGACCAGUGGCGAAGGCGGGUCUCUGGACAGUUCCUGACGCUGAGGCACGGAAGGCCAGGGGGAGCAAAACGGGG